rnacentral:rRNA from 1 species
UACAGAGGUCUCAAGCGUUGUUCGGAUUCAUUGGGCGUAAAGGGUGCGCAGGCUGUGUGGUAAGUCAGAUGUGAAAUCGAGAGGCUUAACCUCUCAACUGCAUUUGAUACUGCCAUGCUAGAGGACUGUAGAGGAGAUUGGAAUUCACGGUGUAGCAGUGAAAUGCGUAGAUAUCGUGAGGAAGACCAGUGGCGAAGGCGAAUCUCUGGGCAGGUCCUGACGCUCAUGCACGAAGGCUAGGGGAGCAAACGGG